UACGUAGGGGGCCUAGCGUUGUCCGGAAUUAUUGGGCGUAAAGAGCUCGUAGGCGGUUCGGCAAGUCGGAUGUGAAAUCUCCACGCUCAACGUGGAGGGGCCAUUCGAAACUGCCGUGACUCGAGUCCGGUAGGGGAGUGUGGAAUUCCCGGUGUAGCGGUGAAAUGCGCAGAUAUCGGGAGGAACACCAGUAGCGAAGGCAGCUCGCUGGGACGGUACUGACGCUAAGGCGCGAAAGCGUGGGAGCGAACAGG
rnacentral:rRNA from 1 species